ACAAAAAUAAGCUCUUUUUGUUUUGCCUCUGUUACUUAAUCUGUGGGGAUGCAGGGGCAGGGGAAGCGGGAGAACGGCUGUGCUGCAGGGCCUGGGCAGCAGCCAAUCAGGGAGCGGGAUUAGCUGGAGGCAGGCAUAAACACGGGUUGUUGCUGUUGGUAACAGAGAUCUGAUUGGCUGCUUGGAGUUCUUGCUCAAUGGGAUAGGUGUUUUAACGUAGAACCGGGGGACUCUGCAGGCCACUCGUUUCGCCGGCCGCCAGCUGCUCCAAACAUGGGCCGGGCCUCUCCGCCAGCCAAGUGGUCAGCAGGCCCGUGAUGUCACAGCGCGGCAUGUUCCCGACCCGGCGCUGGCCCGCGCCGGCAUUCCACCGCCUGCUAAUGCCACAUGACCCCGGCGGCGAGGCCGCGGGGAUCUGGACCUGGAACACGGCGGCCCGUCUCACGCCGUGACAGCACCCGGUGUUCUCUGCCCCCGUCUACCCGGUCAGGUGACAGCGUGUGAAGAGGCCCGGUUCAGUGGGGUCACGCCUGGCCCUGUCCUGGACUGAUUGAUUUAAAAAAAAAAAAAAAAAAAAAAUCAUGCAUCAGAUGCAUCGGCCUUAUUUUAAACUUAGCAUAAACAGAAAACUUCUCCAUUCAAACCAAUGCAGCACAAAAAAGGCUGAGCUACAAGCUAGGCUAACAAGCUACAAACAGCCUUUAUGCAUUAUGUCACAUAGGGAGCUGUAACAAUAACAGUUACCAAUAAAAUGUUCUGAACACUCA